GGUAGCAGAUAUCUCAUAAAAUACAUCAAAUAUAUAUUUUGUAAUAAAAUGGAUCCCAUUUUCAAGACUCUGCGCAGUCGUGUGGUGAUGUAUAAGAGCCCUGUGAAAAAAAAACGCAGGACUGUUGCAAAGGAAGUCAUAGGAAGGGAAAAUACUGAAACUCAAAAUAUGGUAAAUCAAAAUAUAAGUACUGGAAAUCUAGAUAUAACAAAUGAAAAUGACUCAAGAAAUUCCGUGCUAUUUGAUGACGAUCAUUCUUUAUCCCUUAAUAAUCCAAAUGCAAGACUAUGAUACAUCGUCCCCAAACCAAAUAAAAGGAGAAUCCUUGCUAGAUGAAACCUAUGAAACUGAAAGCAAUGACAAUGAUCUCAUAUUUAUUUCUUACUCCAAUGAUCCGGUAGCAUUUCUCGACAUGACACAGGAAACCCUACUAGAUGACUAAAAUAUACAAUGGAUCGGAUUUUUGCAUGAAAGAGAAUCUUUGGCUAUGGAUCAUUCAUAAAGAAAAAGAAUACAAAUUCCAUUAAGUUCAGAUUUUCUGAUGAGUUUGGGACCUUUGGAGACCUGUAAUGAAAUGGCUAAUUAAAUCAAAACCAUUGUUUGAUUAUGCAUUUGUCUAUGAAAAGAUAUCACAAUUUCCAAACCUGAGGCCAUUGACCAGUAUUAACAACACACGGGGAAAUAUACAUAUAUAUUUAUUUUUAUCAAUGAUUGAUUCGAAAAAUUUAAUCGAGUUUAGUUCAUAUUCGUUAUUUAGAUUAUUUCUCUGUCCUAAAAUCAAAAUUUUAACAUUCUCGAUCAAAUUAAUUGCCGUUAAUACCAUCCACUUAACUUCACAAAUGUGUUUAUAGCUGCCACAUAAAUUUAACAAAAUUCAACCCUCGGGAGCCACGUUGACCUCUCACCUGGGGCGCCGCAAUGUAUGCAACAAGUUUAUGCAUUCGCACGCCAGUUGAGGCAUGUGAUGCGAUCUCAUAAAUUAAACUGACUAAAACCAGAGAAAAGGGAGGGAAAACAUCACAAAACCAGGAAAAAAGAAAACUGGCCAGAGCAAACUCAGUCCGCAGAAGCCGCAAACAUGCAAACCCAAAAAAAAGAAGGAAGGGGGGCAACUAUACGAAUCCGAGGGAGAAGUGCAGUGGCGAGUGCAGCACCAACUAAGCACGUGUCAAGAGUGUGGCCCAAGUUUUAAUUUGCCUGAGGCAUCCACUAACAUCCCAUACUCGCAGGCCUCACUGAGAGAACUGAAUUUAUUUAAUUAUAGUUUAUAUUUUUGUUAAUAAAAGGUUUAUUUUUACAUUCAAA